GACGAACGCUGGCGGCGUGCUUAACACAUGCAAGUCGAACGAUGAACCCGGAGCUUGCUCCGGCGGAUUAGUGGCGAACGGGUGAGUAACACGUGAGUAACCUGCCCUUGACUCUGGGAUAACUGCUAGAAAUGGUAGCUAAUACCGGAUACGACCCUCGGUGGCAUCACCAGGGGGUGGAAAGAAUUUCGGUCAAGGAUGGACUCGCGGCCUAUCAGCUAGUUGGUGAGGUAACGGCUCACCAAGGCGACGACGGGUAGCCGGCUUGAGAGGGUGACCGGCCACACUGGGACUGAGACACGGCCCAGACUCCUACGGGAGGCAGCAGUGGGGAAUAUUGCACAAUGGGCGCAAGCCUGAUGCAGCAACGCCGCGUGAGGGAUGACGGCCUUCGGGUUGUAAACCUCUUUUAGUAGGGAAGAAGCGAAAGUGACGGUACCUGCAGAAGAAGCACCGGCUAACUACGUGCCAGCCGCCGCCGUAA
rnacentral:rRNA from 1 species